CGGAUUGCAGGCUGCAACCCGCCUGUAUGAAGUUGGAAUCGCUAGUAAUCGCGGAUCAGCAUGCCGCGGUGAAUACGUUCCCGGGCCUUGUACACACCGCCCGUCACACCAUGGGAGCCGGUAAUACCCGAAGUCAGUAGUCCAACCACGUGAGGACGCUGCCGAAGGUAGGAUUGGCGACUGGGGUGAAGUCGUAACAAGGUAUC
rnacentral:rRNA from 1 species